rnacentral:rRNA from 1 species
UACGAAGGGGGCUAGCGUUGCUCGGAAUUACUGGGCGUAAAGCGCACGUAGGCGGCUUUCUAAGUCGGGGGUGAAAUCCUGGAGCUCAACUCCAGAACUGCCUUCGAUACUGGAGAGCUCGAGUCCGGGAGAGGUGAGUGGAACUGCGAGUGUAGAGGUGAAAUUCGUAGAUAUUCGCAAGAACACCAGUGGCGAAGGCGGCUCACUGGCCCGGUACUGACGCUGAGGUGCGAUAGCGUGGGGAGCAAACAGG